rnacentral:rRNA from 1 species
ACACUCCUGCGGGAGGCAGCAGUGGGGAAUUUUGGACAAUGGGCGAAAGCCUGAUCCAGCAAUGCCGCGUGAGUGAAGAAGGCCUUCGGGUUGUAAAGCUCUUUUGUCAGGGAAGAAACGGUGAAAGCUAAUAUCUUUUGCUAAUGACGGUACCUGAAGAAUAAGCACCGGCUAACUACGUGCCAGCAGCCGCGGUAAUACGUAGGGUGCAAGCGUUAAUCGGACUUACUGGGCGUAAAGCGUGCGCAGGCGGUUUUGUAAGUCUGAUGUGAAAUCCCCGGGCUCAACCUGGGAAUUGCAUUGGAGACUGCAAGGCUAGAAUCUGGCAGAGGGGGGUAGAAUUCCACGUGUAGCAGUGAAAUGCGUAGAUAUGUGGAGGAACACCGAUGGCGAAGGCAGCCCCCUGGGUCAAGAUUGACGCUCAUGCACGAAAGCGUGGGGAGCAAACAGGAUUAGAAACCCGUGUAGUCCCAU